rnacentral:lncRNA from 1 species
GUUGCCUUGUUCUUCAGGUUCUUCAUUGGCUUCUUCAGGUGGAGUGAAAUUGAGGUCUAGAACUACCAUGAUGUCAAUUGAGCCAACGAUUUGUUACUGUUGUUGUCGAGGAUCUGCUGUUGUUGCUUUUAUUGAGGGCUAAUGAUCUGUUCUUAUUGGUUUUGUUGAUGAUAUGUUGUUAUUGCUUCUGUUGAUGAUCAACUGCUGUUGAGACCGGGAGCUACAGUUGAGGAUGUACGGCUGUUGCCAGGGGAGAGCCUGGAGGAGCUCGCGCGUAAGAGGAGCUCCUGGCCUUCUCCUCUGGGCCUGGGCGAACUGGACCUUGCUGGCGACGCGGGGAAGAAGGGAGGCGGUACUGGGCAAGCUUGAUCUUGCCGGCAAGGUGCUCCUGGGAACGGCGGCCGACGGCCGGCGAGGUGCCCUCCUGGGAACAGGCGGCCGGCGAGGUGUCCUCCGUGGGAACGGCGGCCGGCGGCCGGCGAGGUGUCCUCCGUGGGAACGGCGGCCAGCAGGANNNNNNNNNNNNNNNNNNNNNNNNNNNNNNNNNNNNNNNNNNNNNNNNNNNNNNNNNNNNNNNNNNNNNNNNNNNNNNNNNNNNNNNNNNNNNNNNNNNNAACACUUUGUCAUGCAGUGUGCAUACCAGGCAGACCUGGAUCACAUCAUGGAACAUUUGAAGUUCCAACAGUAUGUUAGGUUUACCUUUACCAUGGUUGCCCGAUCUUACAACAGUGACUAUUAGAGGCACUUUAAAGCAUCUCUAGCAGACUAGCAAUACCCUAUAAAUAGAGAAAAAGACAUCAACCCCAUCAGUGACCCAUUUUGUUAUGACAUAUGGGACCCCGGCAGUCAUCAAUCUUAAUAGUUCUCGGAACAAACAGCAGUGUUAGUGUUAUAUCUCAUUUCUGUGUUUUUAAAUUGGGGACUUAGCUAGUUGGUAAGAAGUUAAUAUGUAUUGUAUUCACUGGAAUUCUGUAAAUCACAAGUAUGCAUUAGAUACUUGUUUUGUCAAUCUGCAUAGACAACCAAUCCGUCUAAUGAAAAGGACAACAAAAAAUACGAGAAAAUUCACCUCACGUGUAUUUGGCACACCAAUGCUAAUAAGCUUGCAACGGCUUGUAAUNNNNNNNNNNNNNNNNNNNNNNNNNNNNNNNNNNNNNNNNNNNNNNNNNNNNNNNNNNNNNNNNNNNNNNNNNNNNNNNNNNNNNNNNNNNNNNNNNNNNCAACGUAUCUAUAAUUUUUAUGGUUCCAUGCUAUUAUCUUGUCAACUUUGGAUGUUUUAUAUGCAUGAAUAUGCUAUUUUAUAUCUUUUUUGGGACUAACCUAUUAACUCAGUGCCAAGUGACAGUUUCUGUUUUUUCCGUGUUUUUGGCCCAUUUUCACACGGAGUCCAAAUGGAAUGAAACUUUACGAUGAUUUUUUUUUUGGACCAAAAGAGACCCCCGAAGCUUUGGGAGAAGACCAGAUGGGCCACGAGGGAGUCACAAGCCCUCACGACGCCACCCACCCCCCCCCCCCCUCGGUGGUGGCGCGCAGGCUUGUGACCUCCUCGUGGGCCCAACUGACGCAAUUCCCACCGCCAUAAAUUCCUAUAAAUUCACAAACCCUCAGAAAGAAACCUAGAUCGGGAGUUCCGCCGCCGCAAGCCUCUGUAGCCACCCAAAAACCAACUCUAGACGCCCACUUCCGGCACCCUGCCGGAGGAGGAAUCCAUCCUCCGGUGGCCAUCUUCCAUCAUCCCCGGCGAUCCUCCAUGANNNNNNNNNNNNNNNNNNNNNNNNNNNNNNNNNNNNNNNNNNNNNNNNNNNNNNNNNNNNNNNNNNNNNNNNNNNNNNNNNNNNNNNNNNNNNNNNNNNNUCAGAUAGACACGUGCAAGACAUACAUCAAGUGUUCUCAAAGACUCAAUCCGAUAAGAUAACUCCAAAGGGGAAACUCAAUUCAUUACAAGAAGGAGAGGGGGAAGAACANNNNNNNNNNACAGAUAGACACGUGCAAUACAUACAUCAAGUGUUCUCAAAGACUCAAUCCGAUAAGAUAAAUCCAAAGGGGAAACUCAAUUCAUUACAAGAAGGAGAGGGGGAAGAACAUCAUAAGAUCCAACUAUAGUAGCAAAGCCCAUGGUACAUCGAGAUCAAGACAUCUCAAGAACACGAGAGAGAGAGAUCAAACACAUAGCUAUUCGUACAUACCCUCAGCCCCGAGGGAGAACUACUCCCUCCUCGUCAUGGAGAUCGCCGGGAUGAUGAAGAUGGCCACCGGAGAUGGAUUCCCCCUCUGGCAGGGUGCCGGAACGGGCUCCAGAUUGGUUUUUGGUGGCUACAGAGGCUUGCGGCGGCGGAACUCCCGAUCUAGGUUUCUUUCUAGGUUUUUUUGAAUUUAUAGGAAUUUAUGGUAGUGGAAUUGCGUCAGUUGGGCCCACGAGGAGGUCACAAGCAUGCGCGCCACCACCGGGUGGGGGGGGGGGNNNNNNNNNNNNNNNNNNNNNNNNNNNNNNNNNNNNNNNNNNNNNNNNNNNNNNNNNNNNNNNNNNNNNNNNNNNNNNNNNNNNNNNNNNNNNNNNNNNNCGAAAGACAUUGAAAAGAUGGAGCAUAUGAGGCAUCCUAAUUUUUUUUGUAGUUUUCUAGCGAAAGAACAAGAAACAAAAAGAUUCGAUUGCAAGAUCUAAAGAUAUACCUUCAAGCGCUAACCUCCAGAAAAAUGCUUCGUUGACGGGAGGUGAGUGCCGCUUACCUAGCCUCCCCGGCAACGGCGCCAGAAAAAUGCUUGAUGUCUACUACGCAACCUUCUCCUUGUAGACGUUGUUGGGCCUNNNNNNNNNNCCGGCAACGGCGCCAGAAAAGAGCUUCGUUGACGGGAUGUUAGUGCUGCUUUCCUAGCCUCCCCGGCAACGGCGCCAGAAAAGAGCUUGAUGUCUACUACGCAACCUUCUCCUUGUAGACGUUGUUGGGCCUCCAAGUGCAGAGGUUUGUAGGACAGUAGCAAUUUUCCCUCAAGUGGGUGACCUAAGGUUUAUCAAUCCGCAGGAGGCGUAGGAUGAAGAUGGUCUCUCUCAAUCAACCCUGCAACCAAAUAACAAAGAGUCUCUUGUGUCCCCAACACACCCAAUACAAUGGUAAGUUGUAUAGGUGCACUAGUUCAGCGAAGAGAUGAUGAAACAAGUGCAAUAAGGAUGGUAGAUAUACGUUUUUGUAAUCUGAAAUUACAAAAAUAGCAAGGUAACUAGUAACAAAAGGGAGCACGAACGGUAUUGCAAUGCGUGGAAACAAGGCCUAGGGUUCAUACUUUCACUAGUGAAGUUCUCUCAACAAAGAUAACAUAAUUGGAUCAUAUAACAAGCCCUGAACAUUCAACAAAGAGUCACUCCAAAGUCACUAAAACGGAGAACAAACAAAGAGAUUAUUGUCGGGUACGAAACCACCAUAAAGUUAUUCUUUAUGAUCGAUCUAUUCAAGAGUUCGUACUAGCAUAACACCUUAAGAUACAUAUCAACCAAGACCCUAAUGUCACCUAGAUACUCCAUUGUCACCUCAANNNNNNNNNNAACAUGCAACAAAGAGUCACUCCAAACUCACUAAUAGCGGGGAAAAACGAAGAGAUUAUUGUCGGGUACGAAACCACCACAAAGUUAUUCUUUCUGAUCGAUCUAUUCAAGAGUCUGUAGUAAAAUAACACGAAGCUAUUCUUUUCGUUCAAUCUUUCAUAGAGUUCGUACUAGAAUAACACCUUAAGAUACUUAUCAACCAAGACCCUAAUGUCACCUAGAUACUCCAUUGUCACCUCAAGUAUCCCUGGGUAUGAUUAUACGAUAUGCAUCACACAAUCUCAGAAUCAUCUAUUCAACCAACACAUAGAACUUGAAAGAGUGCCCCAAAGUUUCUACCACAGAGUCAAAACAUGUGCCAACCGCUGUGCAUAGGUUCCCAAUGUCACGAACCCGCAAGUUGAUCACCAAAACAUACAUCAAGUACUCACAUGAAUCCACAUGUGCCAACCCAUAUGCAUAGGUUCCCAAUUGUCACAAACCCGCAAGUUGAUCACANNNNNNNNNNGACUUCAAAGAGUGCCCCGAAGUUUCUACCGGAGAGUCAAAACGUGUGCCAACCCCUAUGCAUAGGUUCCCAAUGUCACGAACCGCAAGUUGAUCACCAAAACAUACAUCGAGUACUCACAUGAAUCCACGUGUGCCAACCCAUAUGCAUAAGUUCCCAAUUGUCACAAACCCGCAAGUUGCUCACAACAGAUAGACACGUGCAAGACAUACAUCAACUAUUCUUAAAGACUAAUUCUGAUAAGAUAACUUCAAAGGGGAAAUUCAAUUCAUUACAAGAAGGGAGAGGGGGAAGAACAUCAUAAGAUCCAACUAUAGUAGCAAAGCCCACGGUACAUCGAUAUCAAGACAUCUCAAGAACACAAGAGAGAGAGAUCAAACACAUAGCUACUGGUACAUACCCUCAACCCCGAGGGAGAACUACUCCCUCCUCGUCAUGGAGAUCGUCGGGAUGAUGAAGAUGGCCACCGGAGAUGGAUUCCCCCUCCGGCAGGGUGCCGGAACGGGCUCCAGAUUGGUUUUUGGUGGCUACAGAGGCUUGCGGCGGCGGAACUCCCGAUCUAGGUUUCUUUGUGGGGGUUUGUUGUCACAUCCCUAACCCUUAAGAAAGAUAGCAUUGUGCUCAUGUCUUCUUUGCAUUUGCAUCNNNNNNNNNNNNNNNNNNNNNNNNNNNNNNNNNNNNNNNNNNNNNNNNNNNNNNNNNNNNNNNNNNNNNNNNNNNNNNNNNNNNNNNNNNNNNNNNNNNNACUUAUAUCUUUUGAGUUAGGCAAUUUAGCUCGCAUGUGCCUCAUUUAUAUCUUUUGAGCUAGAUAACUUUGCUCUAGUGCUUCACUUAGAUGUUUUUAGAGCACGGCGGUGUCAUAUUUUGAAGAAAUAAAAACUCUCGAUCUUCACUUAUAUCUUUUUGAGAGUUCUCUCUCUAAAGUAACUUGGUAAUUGGCUUGUGCUAGGAAAGUAGUCCUAAAGAUGAUAGGCAUCCAAAGAGGAUAUAAUAAAAACUUCCAUAUUCAAGUGCAUUGAUUAGUAAGAGAAGUUUGAUUCCUAACAAUUAGUUUUGAUAUAUGGAUUUGGUAAUAUUAGAGUUAUGUUAGUAGGGUGUUGUGAAUCUAGAAAUACUUGUGUUGAAGUUAGUGAUUCCCGUAGCAUGCACGUAUGGUGAACCGCUAUGCUAGGAAGUCGGAGCAUAAUUGAUUUAUUCAUUGUCAUCCUUUGUGUGGCGGCCGGGAUCGCGCGAUGGUUAACACCUACCAACCCUUCCCCUAGGAGUAUGAGUUUAGCACUUUGUUUCGAUUACUAAUAAAAACUUUCGCAAUAAGUACAUGAGUUCUUCAUGACUAAUGUGAGUCCAUGGUAUAGAUGCACUUUCACCUUCCACCACUGCUAGCCUCUCUAGUUCCGCCCAACUUUCGCCGGUGCACAAACUCACCAUAUACCUUCCUCAAAACAGCCACCAUACCUACCUCUUAUGGCAUUUUCGUAGCCAUUCCGAGAUAUAUUGCCAUGCAACUCCCACCGUUCCGUCUCAUGACCUGUGCCGUCACUUACAUAUUGCCAUUGCAUGAUCGUAAGAUAGCUAGCGAGAUGUUUCAACAUCAUAUGCCAAGCUAGAUCGUUGCACAUCCCGGUACACUGCCGGAGGCAUUUCCUAUAGAGUCAUCANNNNNNNNNNUGUUCUAAGAAUUGAGUUGUGAGUAAAUAAAAGUGUGAUGAUCAUCAUUAUUAGAGCAUUGUCCCAUGUGAGGAAAAAAGAGAGGCCAAAGAUGCCCACCAAAAAAUAUAUAUGAAAAGAGGCCAAAGAACCCAAACAAACAAAAAAAGGAGAGAAAAGAGAGAAGGGACAAUGCUAAUAUCUUUUUCCACACUUGUGCUUCAAAAUAGCACCAUGUUCUUCAUGAUAGAGAGUCUCUUGUUUUGACACUUCCAUAUACUAGUGGGAAUAUUCAUUAUAUAACUUUGCUUGUAUAUUCCAAUGACGGGCUUCCUCAAAAUUUCCCUAGGUUUUAGUGAGCAAGAAAGUUGGGUGCACACCCACUAGUUCUCCUUUUGAGCUUUCACGCACUUAUAGCUCUAAGUGCAUUCGUUGCAUGGUAAUCCCUACUCAUUCACAUUGAUAUCUAUUGAUGGGCAUCUCCAUAGCCUGUUGAUACGCCGAGUCGAUGUGACCAUCUCCUUCUUUUUGCCUCACAACCUCCACCACACUCUAUUCCACCUAUAGUGCUAUAUCCAUGGCUCACGCUCAUGUAUUGCGUGAGAGUUGAAACAGUUUGAGAAAGUAAGAGUGCGAAAACAAUUACUUGGCCAAUACCGGGGUUGUGCAUGAUUUCCAUUCGUUGUGUGGGGAUGAUGGAGCAUAGCGAGACUAUAUGAUUUUGUAGGGAUAACUUUCUUUGGCCUUGUUGUUUCAAAAUUCAUGAUUACUUUGCUAGUAUGCUUGAAGUAUUAUUGUUUUCAUGUCAAUAGUAAACUAUUGUUUUGAAUCUUACGGAUCUGAACAUUCAUGUCACAAGAAAGAAGUUACAAAGGACAAAUAUGUUAGGUAGCACUCCACAUCAAAAUUCAUUCUUUAUCACUUACCUACUCGAGGACGAUCAUGAGUUAAGCUUGGGGAUGCUUGAUACGUCUCCAACGUAUCUAUAAUUUNNNNNNNNNNNNNNNNNNNNNNNNNNNNNNNNNNNNNNNNNNNNNNNNNNNNNNNNNNNNNNNNNNNNNNNNNNNNNNNNNNNNNNNNNNNNNNNNNNNNUACUAGCUAUGGACCCGUAGGUCUAUGGUGAACUACUCACGCAUCAUCAGAGAGGUCAUGGUGUUGAUGAAGAAGCCCUCCGUAUCCGAAUCCCCCCUCCGACAGGGCACCAGAACGUGCCCCAGAUGGGAUCUUGCGGAGACAGAAGCUUGCAGCGGCGGAAAAGUAUUUUCGUGCCUCUCCUAAUUUUUUCUGGGAUUUUAGGGAAUAUAUAGGCGAAAGACCUAGGGCAGAGGAGGCCCAGGGAGCCCACAAGCCUAGGAGGCGCGGGCCCCCUGGCCGAGGCUAGGGGGAUUGUGGGGUCCUUGUUGACACUCUGCCUUGGUUCUCAAGUCUCCCGAUCGUUUUGUGUUUCAAAAAAAAUAUUUUUGGAAGUUUCAUUCCGUUUGGACUCCGUUUAAAAUCCUCCUCUGAAAAGGGUCAAAAACACGGAAAAAACACGAACCGACACUUGGCACUGAGUUAGUAAGUUAGUCCCAAAAAAUAUAUAAAAGGCAUACAAAACAUCCAAAGUUUGACAAGAUAAUAGCAUGAAACCAUAAAAAAUUAUAGAUACGUUGGAGACGUAUCAAGCAUCCCCAAGCUUAACUCCUGCUCGUCCUCGAGCAGGGAAGUGAUAAAGACUGAAUUUUUGAUGUGGAAUGCUACCUAGCAUAGUUGUCCUUUGUAACUUCUUUCAUGUGACAUGAAUGUUCAGAUCCGUAAGAUUCAAAACAAUAGUUUGCUAUUGACAUGAAAACAAUAAUACUUCAAGAAAACUAGCAAGGUAAUCAUGAACUUUUGAAAUAACAAGGGCAAAGAAAGUUAUCCCUACAAAAUCAUAUAGUCUGGCUAUGCUCCAUCAUCCCCACACAACUAAUGUAAAUCAUGCACAACCCCGCUAUUGGCCAAGUAAUUGUUUUCGCACUCUAAUUUUCUCAAACCUUUUUCAACUAUCACGCAAUACAUGAGCGUGAGCCAUGGAUAUAGCACUAUAGGUGGAAUAGAGUGUGGUGGUGGUUGUGAGACAAAAAAGAGGAGAUGGUCACAUUGACUCGGCAUAUCAAAGGGUUAUGGAGAUGCCCAUUAAUAGAUAUCAAUGUGAAUGAGUAGGGAUUGCCAUACAAAGGAUGCACUAGAGCUAUAAGUAUGUGAAAGCUCAAAAGGAGAACUAGUGGGUGUGCAUCCAACUUGCUUGCUCACGAAGACCUAGGGAAAUUUUGAGGAAGCCCAUCAUUGGAAUAUACAAGCAAAGUUAUAUAAUGAAUAUUCCCACUAGCAUAUGGUAGUGACGAAAUGAGAGGCUCUCAAACAUGAAGAACAUNNNNNNNNNNGCCCAUCAUUGGAAUAUACAAGCCAAGUUAUAUAAUAAAGAUCCCCACUGGCAUUUGGUGGUGACGAAAAAGAUAGUAGCAUUGUCCCUUCUCUCUUUUUCUCUCUCUUUUUUUUGUUUGGGCUCUUUGGCCUCUUUUCAUAUAUUUUUGGUGGGCAUCUUUGGCCUCUUUUUUUAUUUCCUCACAUGGGACAAUGCUCUAAUAAUGAUGAUCAUCACACUUUUAUUUACUCACAACUCAAAGCUUAGAACGAUGAUGACUCUAUAGGAAAUGCCUCCGGCAGUGUACCGGGAUGUGCAANNNNNNNNNNUAUCUAGCUUGGCGUAUGACGUUGAAACAUCUCGCUAGCUAUCUUACGAUCAUGCAAUGGCAACAUGAGAGUGACGGCACAAGUCAUGAGACAGAACGGUGGGAGUUGUAUGGCAAUAUACCUCGGAAUGGCUAUGAAAAUGCCAUAGUAGGUAGGUAUGGUGGCUGUUUUGAAGAAGGCAUAUGGUGGGUUUGUGUACCGACGAGAAUUGCGCGGUACUAGAGAGUCUAGCAAUGGUGGAAGGUGAAAGUGCAUCUAUACCAUGGACUCACAUUAGUCAUGAAGAACUCACAUACUUAUUGCGAAAGUUUUUAUUAGUAAUCAAAACAAAGUGCUAAACGCAUACUCCUAGGGGAAGGGUUGGUAGGUGUAAACCAUCGCGCGAUCCCGACCUCAACACAAAGGAUGACAAUCAAUAGAUCAAUUAUGCUCCGACUUCCUAACACGGCGGUUCACCAUACGUGCAUGUUACGGGAAUCACUAACUUCAACACAAGUAUUUCUAGAUUCACAACACCCUACUAACAUAACUCUUAAUAUUACCAAAUCCACGUCUCAAAACUAAUUGAGAGGAAUCAAAACUUCUCUUUCUGCUCAAUGCACAUGAAGAUGGAGGUUUUUGUAUCCUCUUUUGGUACCUAGCACCUUUGGGAUUACUUUCAUAGCACAAGCCAACUACCAAGUCACGCACCGCCGUGCUCUAAAAGAUCUAAGUGAAGCACAUAGAGCAAAAUUAUCUAGCUCAAAAGAUAUAAGUGNNNNNNNNNNUGCAAAAUAUGACAUCGCCGUGCUCUAAAAGAUCUAAGUGAAGCACUUAGAGCAAAGUUAUCUAGCUCAAAAGAUAUAAGUGAAGCACAUGUGAGCUAAAUUUCCUAACUCAAAAGAUAUAAGCGAAGCUCAAUGAGUAUUCUAGCAAAUUCACAAUGAGUGCAUGUCUCUCNNNNNNNNNNAAGCACGUUGAGCAUUCUAGCAAAAUCACGAUGAGUGCGUGUCUCUCUCAAAAGGUGUGCAGAAAGGAUGAUUGUGACACAACAAAAAUAAAAGACUCCUACGAUACAAGAUGCAAGCAAAACACAUAUCAUGUGGUGAAUAAAAAUAUAGCUCCAAGUAANNNNNNNNNNNNNNNNNNNNNNNNNNNNNNNNNNNNNNNNNNNNNNNNNNNNNNNNNNNNNNNNNNNNNNNNNNNNNNNNNNNNNNNNNNNNNNNNNNNNCCAUAUUGAUCUUGGGAGGAGCACGUCUAACUUUCAAAGCAUCAAUAUCAAUAGACAUUCUAUCAAUGCUCCUAGCCAAAUCAUCAAUUUUGAGUAGUUUUUCCUNNNNNNNNNNGUGAAACAAGUGCAAUAUGGAUGAUAGAUAUAGGUUUUUGUAAUCUGAAAUUACAAAAACAGCAAGGUAACAAAUGGUAAAAGUGAGCACGAAUGAUAUUGCAAUGCGUCGAAACAAGGCCUAGGGUUCAUACUUUCACUAGUGAAGUUCUCUCAACAAUGAUAACAUAAUUGGAUCAUGUAACUAGCCCUCGACAUGCAACAAAGAGUCACUCCAAAGUCACUAAUAGCGGGGAACAAACAAAGAGAUUAUUGUCGGGUACGAAACCACCACAAAGUUAUUCUUUCUAAUCGAUCUAUUCAAGAGUCCGUAGUAAAAUAACACGAAGCUAUUCUUUCCGUUCAAUCUUUCAUAGAGUUCGUACUAGAAUAACACCUUAAGAUACUUAUCAACCAAGACCCUAAUGUCACCUAGAUACUCCAUUGUCACCUCAANNNNNNNNNNNNNNNNNNNNNNNNNNNNNNNNNNNNNNNNNNNNNNNNNNNNNNNNNNNNNNNNNNNNNNNNNNNNNNNNNNNNNNNNNNNNNNNNNNNNAAAAUGUAGGAUCCAAUAUGGGCAUCCAGGUCCCGCUAUUGGAUAUUGACCGAGGAGUGUCUCGGGUCAUGUCUACAUAGUUCUCGAACCCGCAGGGUCUGCACACUUAAGGUUUGGUGACGUUUCGGUAUAGUUGAGUUAUAGGUGUUGGUACCCGAAAAUUGUUCGGAGUCCCAUAUGAGACCCAGGACGUCACGAGGAGCUCCGAAAUGGUCCGAAGGUAAAGAUUGAUAUAUAGGAAGUCCUGUUGUGGUCACCGGAAAAGUUUCGGGCUCAUCGGUAGUGUAUCGCGAGUGCUGGGAGGGGUGCUAGGGACCAUCGGGAGGGGUGUCACGCCCAAGGGAUCGCAUGGGCUAUGGGAAGAUAUAAACCAGCCCCUAGUGGGGUGGAAUAAGGUCCCACUAAGGCCCAUAAGGUUUGAGAAGGAAAAAACACAAGGUGGAAAGAGUUUCCAAGUGGGAAGGUGGAAUUCUACUCCAAGUAGGAUUGGAGUAGGACUCCUCCACCUCCAAUUUCGGCCAAACCUUGAGGGUUUGAGGCUGCCUCCUCCCCUCCCUCCCUCCUAUAUAUACUAGAGGUAUUGGGGGUUUUUGAGACACAACUUUGCCACGUGUUGCUCGACCCUAUACCAUGCAGUUUUUCCUCUAGAUCGUAUUUCUGCGGAGCUUAGGCGAAGCCCUGCCGGAGUAGAUCAUCACCACCACCGGCGCGCCAUCACGCUGCCGGAGAACUCUUCUACCUCUCUGCCCCCUCUUUCUGGAUCAAGAAGGUAGAGAUCGUCAUCGAGUUGUACGUGUGCUGAACGCGGAGGUGCCGUCCGUUCGGCACUAGAUCGGAACGGAUCGUGAGACGGGUCGCAAGACGGUUCGUGCGACGGAUCGCCAGACGGUUCGUGGGAUGGAUCGCAGGACGGUUCGUGGGACGGAUCGCGGGACGGUUCAUGGGACGGUUCGUGGGGCUGAUCGAGGGACGUGAAGACGUUCCACUACAUGAACCGCGUUCCUUAAACGCUUCCUGCUGUGCGAUCUACAAGGGUAUGUAGAUCCAAAACUCUUCUUGUAGAUGGACAUCACCAUGAUAGGUCUUCGUGUGCGUAGGAAAUUUUUUGGUUCCCAUGCAACGUUCCCCAUCUAAGCCCAAUGUGAGGAGUUGGCUGAUGAACUUGUUGGAGGGGUCCAUUUCUUCUUGGGCAGAUCCAUGCAACCAGUUUUUUGUCGCGUAGCAUGCGGGUCACAAACUCCAAGGGCAACCGAGUGACCUGCAUGUUCUUCCCCACAGAGAUGGUGAAUCCUUAUGCAAGUACAUCCAAAGAUUUAGCCGUGUACAACACAACAUCCCUAACAUCCAUCCUGCUUGCGGUGAUUGUCGCGUUUCAUAUGAAUGUGCGCAACGGGCGAAUGCGCAAGGAGAUGAGUAUCAACAAGGUGUGGGAUGUCUCCAAGCUCUAUGCCCUGGCUGAAAAAUGUGCGUGUGCUGAAGAAGGAAGAAGGCUCCCAGGAGAGGAUGAUGGUUGAUACGUCUCCAACGUAUCUAUAAUUUUUUAUGGUUCCAUGCUAUUAUCUUGUCAACUUUGGAUAUUUUAUAUGCAUGAAUAUGCUAUUUUAUAUAUUUUUUGGGACUAACCUAUUAACUCAAUGCCAAGUGCCAGUUUCUGUCUUUUCCGUGUUUUUGACCCUUUUUCAGACGGAGUCCAAAUGGAAUGAAACUUUACGAUGAUUUUUUUUGACCAAAAGAGACCCCCGAAGCUUUGGAAGAAGGCUAGAAGAGCCACGAGGGAGUCACGAACCUAUGGGGCGCGGCCUACCCCCCUGGUCGCACCGUGCGGGCUUGUGACCUCCUUGUGGGCCCAACUGACGCAAUUCCACCGCCAUAAAUUCCUAUAAAUUCAGAAACCCCCAGAAAGAAACCUAGAUCGGGAGUUCCGCCGCCGCAAGCCUCUGUAGCCACCAAAAACCAAUCGGGAGCCCGUUCCAGCACCCUACCGGAGGGGGAAUCCAUCUCCGGUGGCCAUCUUCAUCAUCCCGGCGAUCUCCAUGACGAGGAGGGAGUAGUUCUCCCUCGGGGCUGAGGGUAUGUACCAGUAGCUAUGUGUUUGAUCUCUCUCUCUCGUGUUCUUGAGAUGUCUUGAUCUCGAUGUACCGUGGGCUUUGCUACUAUAGUUGGAUCUUAUGAUGUUCUUCCCUCUAUCCCUUCUUGUAAUGAAUUGAGUUUCCCCUUUGAAGUUAUCUUAUCGGAUUGAGUCUUUGAGAACACUUGAUGUAUGUCUUGCACGUGUCUAUCUGUUGUGAUCAACUUGCGGGUUUGUGACAAUUGGGAACCUAUGCAUAUGGGUUGGCACACGUGGAUUCAUGUGAGUACUCGAUGUGUGUUUUGGUGAUCAACUUGCGGGUUCGUGACAUUGGGAACCUAUGCAUAGGGGUUGGCUCGCGUUUUGACUCUCCGAUAGAAACUUCGGGGCACUCUUUGAAGUCUUAUGUGUUGGUUGAAUAGAUGAUUCUGAGAUUGUGUCAUGCAUAUCGUAUAAUCAUGCCCACGGAUACUUGAGGUGACAAUGGAGUAUCUAGGUGACAUUAGGGUGUUGGUUGAUAUGUAUCUUAAGGUGUUAUUCUAGUACGAACUCUUGAAUAGAUCGAUCAGAAAGAAUAACUUUAUGGUGGUUCCGUACCCGACAAUAAUCUCUUCCUUUGUUCUCCACUAUUAGUGACUUUGGAGUGACUCUUUGUUGCAUGUUGAGGGCUAGUUAUAUGAUCCAAUUACGUUAUCUUUGUUUAGAGAACUUCACUAGUGAAAGUAUGAACCCUAGGCCUUGUUUCCAAGCAUUGCAAUACCGUUCGUGCUCACUUUUGUUACUAUUACCUUGCUAUUUUUGUAAUUUCAGAUUACAAAAUGGUAUAUGUACCAUCCUUAUUGCACUUGUUUCACCAUCUCUUCGCCGAACUAGUGCACCUAUACAACUUACCAUUGUAUUGGGUGUGUUGGGGACACAACAGACUCUUUGUUAUUUGGUUGCAGGGUUGCUUGAGAGAGACCAUCUUCAUCCUACGCCUCCCGCGGAUUGAUAAACCUUAGGUCACCCACUUGAGGGAAAAUUGCUACUGCCCUACAAACCUCUGCACUUGGAGGCCCAACAACGUCUACAAGGAGAAGGUUGCGUAGUAGACAUCAAGCAUUUUUCUGGCGCCGUUGCCGGGGAGGCUAGGUAAGCGGCACUCACCUCCCGUCAACGAAGCAUUUUUCUGGAGGUUAGCGCUUGAAGGUAUAUCUUUAGAUCUUGCAAUCGAAUCUUUUUGUUUCUUGUUCUUUCGCUAGAAAACUACAAAAAAAAUUAGGAUGCCUCAUAUGCUCCAUCUUUUCAAUGUCUUUCGUGAGCAUGAUGGGAAGGAAAAUUGUGCUCAAGUGCUGAAAGAAGAAUUACAUAGAAUGUUUGGCAUAGAAUAUGUGAAUGAUGAGCAUGAUUGCAAUAUUGUUAGCAUGAAUUCUAUGAAUACCCAUGAUGCUAAAGAUAUGCAAAGCCACAAGCUUGGGGAUGCUAUAUUUGAUGAAGAUGAUCUUUUUAGUUCUUCCACUUUGAAUGAUCAAAAUUAUUUUGAUGAAAGCAUGCCCCCUAUCUAUGAUGAUUAUUGUGAGGAUACUUAUGCUUUGAAGAAGAGGGAUGAUAAAACUUGUCAUACUUUCGAAAACCCCUUUGCUAAACCUUGCUUUUUCAUCGUGGACACAAUUUGUAGUGCUCAAGUCUUUUACAAUACUCCCACUACUAUUCUUGAGAAUAGAUUUCCUUAUGUGGAGAGUAGUAAAAUUCCUAUGCUUGUAGAUCAUGAAAAUAAAGCCUUAGGUGUUGGUUAUAUUGUUGAAUUCAUUCAUGAUGCUACUGAAAAUUACUAUGAGAGAGGAUCAUAUGCUUCUACUUAUUGCAAUAGUAUCAAGCUUCAUCUCCAUGUGUUGAAAUAUUUGAAGCUAUGCUUGUUUUGCCUUCCUAUGCUAGUUGAUUCAUGAUCCAACAAGUUGUUUGUUCACAAAAUCCCUAUGCAUAGGAAGUGGGUUAGACUUAAAUGUGCUAGCCAUAUGCUCCAUGAUGCUCUCGUUGCGCUUCAAUCCUUAUCUUUUAUGUGAGCAUCAUUGAAAUCAAUGGCUAGCUAAGGGCGUUAAACAAUAGUGCUUGUUGGGAGGCAACCCAAUGAAUUUAUUUUUGCUUUUUGCUUUUUGUUUUGCUUUUUCCACACCAUCAUAAUUCUGUUAUGAUUGUGUUUUUUGUGUUUUAAUUAGUGUUUAUGCCAAGUAAAGCCUUUAUGAUAGCUUGAGUGAUAGUUGUUUGAUCAUGCUGGAAAAAGACAGAAACUUUCUGCUUACGAAAUUAUUUUUAAUUUCUAUCCAGAAAGAGAUUUUGAGUUGAUUGUUUUUCCUGCUGAUUUAUAUGAAAAUUGCCCUAAUUUUCAUAAUGUUUCAGAAUUUUGGGAGGUGCAGAAGUAUGGUGAUCAUUCAGAUCAUUACAGACUGUUCUGUUUUUGACAGAUUCUGUUUUCAAUGCAUAGUUUGCUUGUUUUGGUGUUUCCAUAGAUUAUUUUGAAUAAUAUAAAUUGUGGAAAUAGUAAUAUACAGUAGGCAUUGUAUGAAAAUAGUUAUGAGUCUUGUUUUAACAGUGUCCAAGUGAUUGAUUUUCUCGUUAUCAUACUAACCCAUCUCACGAAGUUCCGUUAAGUUUUGUGUUGUGAAGUUUUCAAGUUUUGGGUAGAGUUUCGAUGGACUAUGGAACAAGGAGUGCCAAGAGCCUAAGUUUGGGGAUGCCCAAGGCAUCCCAAGCCAUAUUCAAGGAUACCAAAAGCCCUAAGCUUGGGGAUGCCCCGGGAAGGCAUCCCCUCUUUCGUCUUAAAUCUAUCGGUAACAUUACUUGGAGCUAUAUUUUUAAUCACCACAUGAUAUGUGUUUUGCUUGGAGCAUCUUGUAUCUUAGGAGUCUUUUCUUUUUGUUGUGUCACAAUAAUCCUUGUUGCACACCUUUUUGAGAGAUAGAGACAUGCACUCAUUGUGAUUUUGCUAGAAUGCUCAUAGUGCUUCAUUUAUAUCUUUUGAGCUAGAUACUUUUGCUCUUGUGCUUCACUUAUAUCUUUUGAGCUAGAUACUUUUGCUCUUGUGCUUCACUUAUAUCUUUAGAGCACGGCGGUGCAUGAUUUGGUAGUUGGCUUAUGCUAUGAAAGUAGUCCCAAAUGUGAUAGGUACCCACAGAGGAUACAAAAACCUCCAUCUUCAUGUGCAUUGAAUAGAAAGAGAAGUUUUGAUUCCUCUCAAUUAGUUUUGAGACGUGGAUUCGGUAGUAUUAAGAGUUAUGUUAGUAGGGUGUUGUGAAUCUAGAAAUACUUGUGUUGAAGUUGGUGAUUCCCUGUCGGGACCCCGAUCCUAAGCCAUAGGAAUCUAGCCUGUAACACAUCGCAUCCCUUUGUGGUCUCACGCACAGUUAACUCCACGGCUGCAGCCUUACCUUAGCCGGGACCGUUUGCGUCUUUUGACUCACGUAUGUGAUAGUGUCGCUAGCAAUCCAAUGUCAAAGAACCCGGAUCGACAUGUCUAGUCAUAAACCAAAGUGGCAGCACCGCACAAGGACAGGCAUACAUGACCCAACAAAGCAGGUGUCGGUCAUCAGCGAAUGUAGACGAGUCGUAGCAAGCUACAAGGACUCCAUUACAUCGCGUGACAUUUCCCCAAAGGGGACAGACACAGCAGCUAAGAAGGACACAUGCCGGUCAACCAAUGUGUCCGGAGCAGUAGCGAACUACCAAGGCUCGUUGGAUCACAAAGGGGCAUUUCCUUGUAAGGAGUGCUACUAAAGUUCACGACUAGGUAUUCGAACCCCAUACAUAUCAAGUACGACACCCGUAUGCAUGACAUACCGAUAUGUAUAGAUACAUCGAUGGCAUCACAACAUAACCAUAAACAUACAACCUUUAUUUAAGAGGCUCGGAAGAGCCACACACAUAAUAUUACACAUUAAGGGUCUCAUGACCCAUAAUAACAGUCAUACAAAUACAAGCCAGCGGAAGAGUUUAAACUAUCUGAGUACAGACAGGGCAACUAGAAGGCACAUGGCCUGACUAUACUACAGAGCCGACGUAGGGCCAGAUCGUAGCUGGGACACCAGCUACUCGUCGUCGUCGAUGUCUACGAAGAACCCUCCAUUAGGGUCAUUAGCAACCUCUGCAACAUUUAUUAAGCAAACAUGAGUACGAAGGUACUCAGCAAGACUUUAGGAGAACUAACUACUCAUGCAAGGUAUCAAAAGGUAUUGUGGGGUUUCAUGCGGAAAGCCAGCAUUUGACUCGUGGCUAGACAACUUGCAUUUUGAAAUUAGUUUUGACAACUUGAUUUCUCGCACACGAGUCCACUAACACCACAACAAUACACUAUCGUGGAAUCAUUCCGUCUCCAUACGGAAAUGCCGUCCACGACACUCACGCUUAUCUUGACAAUUUUAUGAGUAGCCAUUGAAGUUAUCUAUGAACAACAUAUGUCUCCAAGUAGUCCAUAUCCGCGGACGCGGCUAUUCGAAUAGAUCUUAACCCUGCAGGGGUGUACGUCGUCACACACGCUCUCGCCACUUAUCGCUAUGUGCACGUCAUGCACCUCGGCAACCUUCAAGCGGAAGCCUAGCGAGGGAGUCGGCCACGACCGUUAACCACACUAGUACCUAGUCCAGGUUUAAUUGCCUAUCUGAGAGUAACCCGUAAGGCAGUCCGGCCGAGGUUUCCACCACGGCCUCAAACGAUGUGCGCAGGGUUCCCAAGCCCACCAUCCGGGUGCCACUUGGUACACCGUGCCACUGCCUACCGCAUCACGGUCCACCUCUCAGGUCAGCACCAUGCACGGCCUCCAGCAUUACUAUAAACACCAGAAACUACUUGCAACUCCUGGACCGAGUACUAAGCGAUUAAUAGGCCGAGCGGGGUCAUAUUUCAGGGCCCAGCAUGUGGUAGUAUCUAGUCUUGGAUUACAUACACGGAACUCAGUUCCUAAGGACGGUUCCAAUGAAACAACCCGCCAUGUACUCCUACACAGCCUUUCACCGGUACCUUUACCAAAACAAGUUCAACACACAACCUUUGCCUACCGAACACAUUCCACAUUUCUGUUCAUCUCCCAAAUGACAGACCAUACACAACCCUAAGCAUAGCAUGCAUAGCAGGAUAAGGCACAUCAUAGCUCAAGCAACUACCAGGUAUGCUAGGUUGCAAGGUUUGGCUAUUUACUGUGACAAGGUUAAGUCAUGCAAAGGAAGUGGAUUCAACUAUCGUGGCAAAAGCAGUUGAAGCAUUUGAUCUUAAAUGCAAUAAUUAGGUGCAGGAGCAAGAACAUGGGAGUUAUCGGAAUGAUCAAAGGGGUUGCUUGCCUUGUUGCUCAGAGGAGGAACGAUAUCCGUCAGACGGAUAUUCGGUGGAAUCCGGGGGUGCGGAGCCUACCGAAAUGAAUGGCAACAUUCAAUAACAAUCAUAUGCACUCAAAAUGAUGCAUGAGCAUGGCAUGAGAAUGCAAGGUGAUAAGUUAUUAUUUUCAACAUGUAUUAGGUUUAGAGUUGAUUUGAAUCACAUUCGAAUAGCAAUUCAAACGGGGUAUUCUCGGAUACCGGUUUAAUUGAUUCGACCUGAUGCUCAGAUCAACUUGAUGUUAACAUGCAUGAACUGUCAUGUUAUGGUACUGAAUUGUAAUUAGGACAGUGGUGAACAUUGUAAAUAUAAUGAAAUUUGAAUAUUUUUGCAAAUUCCAUUUAAAAGGUGAUUAUAAGAAUUGAAUUAUUCCUUAUUCCACAAUUUAGGGUUCUGUAACUUUUUUAAACAUGGUUGAAAAUAGCAUAAUCAGAAUCCUUGAAUUUUUCUGAUACUUUUUCAUAUAUAAAUUAUUUUCAUUGGAGUUACAGAUUAAUUUCUAUGAUUUUUACAAUUUUUAGCAAUUUCCUGAAUUAGUUUUAUACUGGAAAUUCUAUUUAUUGCAUCAGACUGGCGUCAGCAGGUCAGCCGACUUGUUCAGGUCAAACCUGAUAGGGGGGGCCCACUGGUCAGCCUCUCUGGGACUAAUCCCGCGCUGACCAGCCCUAACUGAGGUUUGACUUGGCCUUGGGCCCACUUGUCAGCGAGUGAUUAGGUGCUGAGCUGCUGGGUUAGCUUUGCCACGUCGACAUCCACCGGCGGCGAGGUCAUCCUCGCCGGAGGGGAGCCUCCGGCGACCACCAGCACGGCGGAGGGGCUCGGAAACGGCGCAGAGGGGGCCAAAUGCUGCGCGGAGAGCACCAGAGGAACGGCACGUCUCCCGCAGCUUCAUUUCUGCACCUAGCCGGGGCUGAUCUGGCCGGAGAUGACGCCGACGACGAGCUUGGCGGCGGCCAAGGCUCGGGCAUCAUCGGGGUCUUUGAAUCAGAGGGAUCUACGCUCGGUUCUUAGCUGCUACAGCAUCUACGCGUCGACCUGGAGCUGCUGGUGCCCUCGGAAGGACGAGCUGAUCAUCGGAGGGCUACCGGCGACGAGCGGCAACGGCGGUCCUCGUCGGGCUCCGGUGAAACUAGAGCUAGAGGAGGGGAUCGACGGGGAAAACUUAGGGGAAACGACCGCAUGCUCACGGGGAGUGCAGAGCAGAGCUUAGACGGCUCGGGGAAGGCCCGGGGGCGACGAAUCGAUGGGAGAGGUCCGGCGGCCGGAGGUGGAAGACGACGGCGUUGCGGGCGUUGCAGGGCUCGAGGAAGCUUCGGCUUCUGCAGAGAUGACCAGGGCGACGAGGCGGAGCUAAUGGCGUGCUCUGGGAGGGAAUCCUAUGGCUAGGGGCACGGGCAGCUCGAGCUCGAGCUCGGCUCUAAUGGCGACAGCAAGGAGGAGGAGGAGAUCCGGGAGGAGGAAGAGAACCGAGGCGGGGAAUGGAUAGGGGAGGCCUUGGGGAGCUUAUCCCCGUCGUCGCCAGCGCGAGGCGGCGGCCAGGCAGACACGCAGGUGCGUGGCCGCGCCGGAGGGGGCGGCGGCCACCUCCUGCUGCCUACUGGCGCGAGGGAGGGGACGAGCCAGGGAUGGGCCGGGCCAGGCUUAGGCGACAGGUAAGGUUUUCCCAUUUUUCUGUUUUUGUUUUUUCUCUUUUGCUAAUUAUUGUUUUGCUAAUUAAUUCAGCUCCAAAACAAAAAGUAAAAACUAUUUUAGACCUCCUGAAAUAUUUGUUAUAAUAUCCCCAACCAUUUCCAAGGUUUUCAACAUUUUUGGAAAUUUAUAGUUUCUGGUUUCAAAUUUAAAACUUGAAACCAGUAGCCUUUUUCAUUUAUUCAAAAAGGUUAAAGUGUCAAGAAAAUAGUUUUCUCCAAUGCUCAUUUACUUUCAAGAUUUAUCAGAAAGUUUGGACAUUUCUUGAGGCCAUUUUGGGUUCAUUGAUUUUGAACUAGUUUGAGAUUUCCUUUAAAUUGAAAUGGUGGCUAGGGUUUUGAGUUUUUCCUUUGCCACUUUGUUGUUUUUGUUCAAACUUCUUAGAUGCAAAUGCAAAGAAGACAUGAGCACAAUGCUAUCUUUCUUAAGGGUUAGGGAUGUGACAACAAACCCCCACAAAGAAACCUAGAUCGGGAGUUCCGCCGCCGCAAGCCUCUGUAGCCACCAAAAACCAAUCUGGAGCCCGUUCCGGCACCCUGCCGGAGGGGGAAUCCAUCUCCGGUGGCCAUCUUCAUCAUCCCGACGAUCUCCAUGACGAGGAGGGAGUAGUUCUCCCUCGGGGUUGAGGGUAUGUACCAGUAGCUAUGUGUUUGAUCUCUCUCUCUUGUGUUCUUGAGAUGUCUUGAUAUCGAUGUACCGUGGGCUUUGCUACUAUAGUUGGAUCUUAUGAUGUUCUUCCCCCUCUCCCUUCUUGUAAUGAAUUGAAUUUCCCCUUUGAAGUUAUCUUAUCAGAAUUAGUCUUUAAGAAUAGUUGAUGUAUGUCUUGCACGUGUCUAUCUGUUGUGAGCAACUUGCGGGUUUGUGACAAUUGGGAACUUAUGCAUAUGGGUUGGCACACGUGGAUUCAUGUGAGUACUCGAUGUAUGUUUUGGUGAUCAACUUGCGGUUCGUGACAUUGGGAACCUAUGCAUAGGGGUUGGCACACGUUUUGACUCUCCGGUAGAAACUUCGGGGCACUCUUUGAAGUCCUAUGUGUUGGUUGAAUAGAUGAUUCUGAGAUUGUGUGAUGCAUAUCGUAUAAUCAUGCCCACGGGUACUUGAGGUGACAAUGGAGUAUCUAGGUGACAUUAGGGUCUUGGUUGAUAUGUAUCUUAAGGUGUUAUGCUAGUACGAACUCUUGAAUAGAUCGAUCAUAAAGAAUAACUUUAUGGUGGUUUCGUACCCGACAAUAAUCUCUUUGUUUGUUCUCCGUUUUAGUGACUUUGGAGUGACUCUUUGUUGAAUGUUCAGGGCUUGUUAUAUGAUCCAAUUAUGUUAUCUUUGUUGAGAGAACUUCACUAGUGAAAGUAUGAACCCUAGGCCUUGUUUCCACGCAUUGCAAUACCGUUCGUGCUCCCUUUUGUUACUAGUUACCUUGCUAUUUUUGUAAUUUCAGAUUACAAAAACGUAUAUCUACCAUCCUUAUUGCACUUGUUUCAUCAUCUCUUCGCCGAACUAGUGCACCUAUACAACUUACCAUUGUAUUGGGUGUGUUGGGGACACAAGAGACUCUUUGUUAUUUGGUUGCAGGGUUGCUUGAGAGAGACCAUCUUCAUCCUACGCCUCCCGCGGAUUGAUAAACCUUAGGUCACCCACUUGAGGGAAAAUUGCUACUGUCCUACAAACCUCUGCACUUGGAGGCCCAACAACGUCUACAAGGAGAAGGUUGCGUAGUAGACAUCAAGCAUUUUUCUGGCGCCGUUGCCGGGGAGGCUAGGUAAGCGGCACUCACCUCCCGUCAACGAAGCAUUUUUCUGGAGGUUAGCGCUUGAAGGUAUAUCUUUAGAUCUUGCAAUCGAAUCUUUUUGUUUCUUGUUCUUUCGCUAGAAAACUACAAAAAAAAUUAGGAUGCCUCAUAUGCUCCAUCUUUUCAAUGUCUUUCGUGAGCAUGAUGGGAAGGAAAAUUGUGCUCAAGUGCUGAAAGAAGAAUUACAUAGAAUGCUUGGCAUAGAAUAUGUGAAUGAUGAGCAUGAUUGCAAUGUUGUUAACAUGAAUUCUAUGAAUACCCAUGAUGCUAAUGAUAUGCAAAGCCACAAGCUUGGGGAUGCUAUAUUUGAUGAAGAUGAUCUUUUUAGUUCUUCCACUUUGAAUGAUCAAAAUUAUUUUGAUGAAAGCAUGCCCCCUAUCUAUGAUGAUUAUUGUGAGGAUACUUAUGCUUUGAAGAAGAGGGAUGAUAAAACUUGUCAUACUUUCGAAAACCCCUUUGCUAAACCUUGCUUUUUCAUUGUGGACACAAUUUGUAGUGCUCAAGUCUUUUACGAUACUCCCACUACUAUACAUUGUGGUCGUGGAGGUCACCGCGUCAAGGCCAAGCAAAAAAAGGGUAAUCCCACUAGAGGACAAGAGAAGAAGUUUGAUGACGAGGAUGAUGGUGAUGAUGAAGAUGAAGAGGGAUUUGAGAGCCAAGAAUUCCAUAAGUCGAUAGAUGUUAUGUGUGUUGUGUUGGAAAUAUGCCCUAGAGGCAAUAAUAAAAUGGUUAUUAUCAUAUUUCCGUGUUCACGAUAACCGUCUAUUGUUCAUGCUAUAAUUGUAUUAACAGGAAACAGUAAUACAUGUAUGAAUAAAUAGAUCACAAUGUGUCCCUAGCAAGCCUCUAGUUGGCUAGCUCGUUGAUCAAUAGAUGAUCAUGGUUUCCUGAUCAUGGACAUUAGAUGUCAUUGAUAACGGGAUCACAUCAUUGGGAGAAUGAUGUGAUGGACAAGACCCAAUCCUAAGCAUAGCACCAGAUCGUGGUGUUCGUAUGCUAAAGCUUUUCUAAUGUCAAGUGUCUUUUCCUUCGACCGUGAGAUUGUGCAACUCCCGGAUACCGUAGGAGUGCUUUGGGUGUAUCAGACGUCACAACGUAACUGGUGACUAUAAAGGUGCACUAUGUGUAUCUCCGAAAGAGUCUGUUGGGUUGGUACGAAUCGAGAUCAGGAUUUGUCACUCCGUGUGACGGAGAGGUAUCUCUGGGCCCACUCGGUAGAACAUCAUCAUGAGCCUAAUGUGACUAAGGAGUUAGUCACGGGAUGAUGUGCAACGGAAUGAGUAAAGAGACUUACCAGUAACGAGAUUGAACAAGGUAUAGGUGUACCGACGAUCGAAUCUCGGGCAAGUUCUAUACCGACAGACAAAGCGAAUUGUAUACGGGAUUGAUUGAAUCCUUGACAUCGUGGUUCAUCCGACGAGAUCAUUGUGGAACAUGUGCGAGCCAGCAUGGGUAUCUAGACCCCGCUGAUGGUUAUUGGCCGGAGAGAUGUCUCGGUCAUGUCUGCAUGCCUCCCAAACCCGUAGGGUCUACACACUUAAGGUUCGAUGACGCUAGGGUUAUAGGGAAUAAUCAUACGAGGUUACCGAAGGUUGUUCGGAGUCCCGGAUGAGAUCUCGCACGUCACAAGGAGCUCCGGAAUGGUCCGGAGGUGAUAUAUAGGAUGGAUGGGUUUGGACGCCCGAAAUGUUUCGGGCACCACCGGCAAAGUACCAGGACCACCGAAAGGGUUCCGGAGGCUCACCGGGAGAGGCCACUAGCUCCAGGAGGCUACAUGGGCCAAGUGUGAGAGGGAACCAGCCCCUGGGUGGGUUGGUGCGCCCCCCACACCCAGCCCAUGGCGCCUAAGAGGGGGAAGGGGGGAACCCUAGCGCAGGUGGGCCUAAGGCCCACCAGGGGGUGCGCCACCCCCUCCUCCCCUCCUGGCUGCCGCCCCUCCCCCCAUCUAGGGUUGCCGCCCCCCUUCGGGGGUGGAAACCCUAAAGGGGGCGCCACCCUCCCUUCCCCCUAUAUAUAGCAGGGGGUUUGGCCAUUGGAGACACGGAAUUCCAUCUCUCUCUCGGCGCAGCCCUCCUCUUCUUCUUCCUCCUCUCCCACAGUGCUUGGCGAAGCCCUGCCGGGAGACCUCGUCUCUCCAUCGACACCAUGUCGUCGUGCUGCUGGAGAUCUUCCCCAACCUCUCCCUCCUCCUUGCUGGAUCAAGGUGCAGGAGACGUCACCGGGCUGCAUGUGUGUUGAACAUGAGGUGUCGUGGUUCGAUACUAGAUUGGAAUCACACCGCGAUCUGAAUCCCCGCGAGUACGACUCCAUCAACCGCGUUCUAGCAACGCUUCCACUUAGCGAUCUUCAAAGGUAUGAAGAUGCACUCUUCCCUCUCUCGUUUCUGGUCUCUCCAUAGGAAGAUCUGAAUAUGGCGUAGGAAAAUUUUGAAUUUAUGCUACGUUACCCAACACUGGUAUCAGAGCCAGGUUUUCUAUGCAUAGAUUCUAUGCACGAGUAGAACACAAAAAGGUUGUGGGCGAUGAUUUUGUCAAUUUCUUGCCGUUACUAGUCUUAUUCUUUUCCGGCGGUAUUAUGGGAUGAAGCGUCCCGGACCGACCUUACACGUACGCUUACGUGAGACAGGUUCCACCGACCAACAUGCACUAGGUGCAUAAGGUGGCUAGCGGGUGUCUGUAUCUCCCACUCUAGUCGGAUUGGAUUUGAUGAAAAUGGUCCUUAUGAAGGGUAAAUAGCUUUGGCAUAUUAUCGUUGUGGCUGUCACGUAGGUAUGAAGGCGUUCUUGCUAGAAACCCAAAUCAGCCACGUAAAACUUGCAACAACAAUUAGAGGAUGUCUAACUUGUUUUUGCAGGGUUUGACAUGUGAUGUGAUAUGGCCAAAGGUUGUGAUGUUACAUGUGUGAUGUAUGAGAUGAUCAUGUUCUUGUAAUAGGAUUCACGACUUGCAUGUCGAUGAGUAUGACAACCGGAACGAGCCAUAGGAGUUGUCUUAAUUUAUUGUAUGAGAUGCAACGCCAUGUGUUUACUACUUUUACUUCAUUGCUAACGGUUCGCUAUAGUAGUAGUAGUUUGUGUGACGACUUCACGGAGACACGAUGAUGGAGAUCAUGAUGAUGGAGAUCAUGGUGUCAUGCCGGUGACAAUGAUGUUCAUGCGAUGCCCGAAGAUGGAGAUCGAAGGAGCAAAGAUGAUAAUGGCCAUAUCAUGUCACUAUAUGAUUGCAUGUGAUGUUUAUCAUGUUUUUCAUCUUAUUGCUUAGAACGACGGUAGCAUAAUAAGAUGAUCCCUCAUGAAAUUUCAAGAACGUAUUCCCCUAAGUGUGCACUGUUGCAAAGGAUCGUUGUCUCGAAGCACCACGUGAUGAUCGGGUGUGAUAGAUUCUAACGUUCGCAUACAAUGGGUGUAAGCCAGAUUUACACACGCGAAACACUUAGGUUGACUUGACGAGCUUAGCAUGUACAGACAUGACCUCGAAUAAAAGAGAACGAAAGGUGGAACAUGAGUCGUAUGGUUGAAUACGAUCAGCAUGAAGUUGCUCACCAUGACGACUAGUCCGUCUCACGUGAUGAUCGGACACGGGUUAGUUGACAUGGAUCAUGUAUCACUUAGAUGACUAGAGGGAUGUCGAUUUAAGUGGGAGUUCAUACUUAAUUUGAUUAAAUGAACUUAAUUAUGAUGAACUUAGUCUAAAAGUUGUCUUUACAAAUAUUGUAGAUCCGAUGGCCAACGCACCUGUCAACCUCAAUUUCAACGCGUUCCUAGAGAAAAACAAGCUGGAAGAUGAUGGUAGCAACUAUGCGGACUGGGUUCGCAACUUGAAGCUCAUCCUCAUUGCAUCCAAGAAGGCUUAUGUCCUUGAUGUGCCGCUUGGUGACCCCCCUGUUCCCGCGGCAGCCCAAGAUGUUCAGAACAUCUGGCAAGCGCAGAGUGAUGACUACUCUCUGGUUAGGUGUGGCAUGUUAUAUAGUUUAGAACCGGGGCUCCAAAGGCGUUUUGAGCAACACGGAGUAUAUGAGAUGUUCCAGGAGCUGAAGCUAGUUUUUCAAGCUCAUGCCCGGGUCGAGAGAUAUGAAGUCUCCGACAAGUUCUUUAGCUGCAAGAUGGAGGAGAACAGUUCUGUUAGUGAGCAUAUUCUCAGAAUGUCUGGGCUGCACGGACAUCUGACUCAGCUUGGAGUCGAACUUCCGGAUGACAUUGUAAUUGACAGAAUCCUCCAGUCUCUCCCACCAAGCUACAAGGGUUUUGUGCUGAACUACAACAUGCAAGGGAUGGAGAAGUCCAUUCCAGAGUUGUACUCGAUGCUCAAGUCUGCAGAAGUAGAAGUCAAGAAAGAGCAUCAAGUGUUGAUGGUCAACAAGACCACCAGUUUCAAGAAGGGCAAGGGUAAUAAGUACUUCACGAAAGACGGCAAAGCCGUUGGCGCACCCGGUAAGCCAGAUGCCGGGAAGAAGAAAAAGAACGGACCCAAGACUGAGACUGAGUGCUUCUAUUGCAAGGGAAAAGGCCACUCGAAGCGGAACUAUCCCAAGUACUUAGCCGAUAAGAGGGCCGGCAACGUUAAAGGUAUAUAGGAUAUACAUGUUAUUGAUGUGUACCUUACCAGCGCUCGUAGUAGCUCAUGGGUAUUUGAUACCGGUGCUUGAUACGUCCCCAACGUAUCUAUAAUUUUUUAUGGUUUCAUGCUAUUAUCUUGUCAAACUUUGGAUGUUUUGUAUGCCUUUUAUAUCUUUUUGGAAUUAACUUAUUAACUCAGUGCCAAGUGCCAGUUCCAAUUUUUUCCGUGUUUUUGACCCUUUUCAGAGGAGGAUUUUAAACGGAGUCCAAACGUAAUGAAACUUCCAAAAAGAUUUUUUUUCGAAACAGAAGACGAUCGGGAGACUUGAGAACCAAGGCACAGGGUCAACAGGGACCCCACAAGCCCCCUAGCCACGGCCAGGGGGCGCCUCCCAGGCUUCUGGGCUCCCUCGGCCUCCUCUGCCCUAGUCUUUCGCCUAUAUAUUCCCUAAAAUCCCAGAAAAAAUCAGGAGAGCCACGAAAAUACUUUUCCGCCGCCGCAAGCUUCUCUCUCCGCAAGAUCCCAUCUCGGGCACGUUCUGGUGCCCUGCCGGAGGGAGGAUUCGGAUACGGAGGGCUUAUUCAUCAACACCAUGACCUAUCCGAUGAUGCGUGAGUAGUUCACCAUAGACCUACGGGUCCAUAGCUAGUAGCUAGAUGGCUUCUUCUCUCUCUUGGAUCUUCAAUACAAAGUUCUCCAUGAUCUUCAUGGAGAUCUAUCCGAUGUAAUCUUCUUUUUGCGGUGUGUUUGUCGAGAUCCGAUGAAUUGUGGAUUUAUGAUCAGAUUAUGUAUGAAUCUUAUUUGAGUUUCUUCUGAUCUCUUAUAUGCAUGAUUUCAUAUCCUUGUAAUUCUCUUCGAGUUGUGGGUUUUGUUUGGCCAGCUUGAUCUAUGAUUCUUGCAAUGGGAGAAGUGCUUGGUUUUGGGUUCAUACUGUGCGGUGAUCCCACCCAGUGACAGAAGGGGUAGCGAGGCACGCAUCGUGUUGUUACCAUCAAGGGUAAAAGGAUGGGGUUUUCAUCAUUGGUUUGAGUUUAUCCCUCUACAUCAUGUCAUCUUGCUUAAGGUGUUACUCUGUUCGUCAUGAACUCAAUACACUAGAUGCAUGCUGGAUAGCGGUCGAUGUGUGUAGUAAUAGUAGUAGAUGCAGAAAGUAUCGGUCUACUUGUCUCGGACGUGAUGCCUAUAUGUAUGAUCAUUGCCUUAGAUAUCGUCAUGACUUUGCGCGGUUCUAUCAAUUGCUCGACAGUAAUUUGUUCACCCACCGUAAUAUUUGUUGUUUUGAGAGAAGCCUCUAGUGAACACUAUGGCCCCCGGGUCUACUUCACAUCAUAUUUUCAUCCUUACACUUUUACUUCGUUGCUAUUUCCGCCUUCAGAUCUCACUUUGCAAUCAAUCAUGAAGGGAUUGACAACCCCUUUAUAGCGUUGGGUGCAAGCUCUUUUGUGUUUGCGCAGGUACUCUGGACUUGACGCGAUUCUCCUACUGGAUUGAUACCUUGGUUCUCAAACUGAGGGAAAUACUUACUGCCCCUGUGCUGCAUCACCCUUUCCUCUUCAAGGGAAAAACCAACGCAAGCAAGUCUCCGUCAACGUGUCAAUUUCUGGCAAUGUUGUUUGAGAAGUAGCAGAAGGAUUUCUGGCGCCGUUGCCGGGGAGGAUCAAGUCAAGAACUCAUCCAAGUAAGUGUCGCAAACUCAUCUCUUGCAUUUACUUUUUUGCCUCUCAUUUUCCUCUCCCCCACUUCUGAAAAACAAAAAAUUACAAAAAUAUUUGCCUUUUUCGUUUGCCUUUUUUGUUCGCCCUCUUCUCUCGCUUGCUUUCUAUUCACUUGUGUGCUUGCUUGCUUCCUGAAGUCACCAUGACUGAAAACACCAAACUUUGUGACUUCGCGAAUACUAAUAAUAAUGAUUUUAUUAGUACUCUGAUUGCUCCCGCCACUAGUGCAUAAUCAUACGAAAUCAAUGCUGCUUUGCUGAAUCUUGUUAUGAAAGAGCAAUUCUCCGGCCUUCCUAGUGAAGAUGUCGCAUCCCAUCUUAAUACCUUCAUUGAGCUUUGCGAUAUGCAAAAGGAGAAAGAUGUGGAUAAUGAUGUGAUUAAAUUGAAGCUUUUUCCGUUCUCGUUGCGAGAUAGAGCAAAAACUUGGUUUUCGUCUUUGCCCAAAAAUAGUAUUGAUUUUUGGAACAAGUGCAAAGAUGCUUAUAUAUCCAAGUAUUUUCCGCGGGCUAAGAUUAUCUCUCUCCGUAAUGAUAUCAUGAAUUUUAAGCAACUUGAUCAUGAACAUGUUGCACAAUCUUGGGAAAGGAUGAAAUUGAUGAUUAGAAAUUGUCCCGGUCAUGGCUUGAGUCUUUGGAUGAUUAUACAAAUCUUUUACGCUGGCUUGAAUUUCGCUUCUAGAAAUAUCUUGGACUCCGCCUCAGGUGGAACUUUCAUGGAAAUCACGUUAGUAGAAGCUACAAAACUUCUAGACAAUAUCAUGACAAACUACUCUCAGUGGCACACUGAAAGGUCACCUACUAGUAAAAAGGUACACGCUAUAGAAGAAAUUAACUCGUUGAGUGCUAAGAUGGAUGAGUUAAUGAAUUUGGUUGCUAGUAUAAGUGCUCCUUUAGAUCCUAAUGACAUGCCCUUGUCUUCCUUGAUUGAGAGUAGCAACGCUAGCUUGGACGUUAAUUUUGUUGGUAGGAAUAAUUUUGGCAACAACAAUUCUUUUAGAGGAAACUAUGUUCCUAGGCCUUUUCCUAGUAACUCCUCUAAUAACUUUGGCAACUCCUACAACAAUACUCAUGGAAAUUACAAUAGAUUACCCUCUGAUCUAAAGAGUAAUAUCAAAGAGUUUAUCAACUCAUAAAAGAUUUUCAAUGCGUCCAUAGAGGAAAAACUGCUCAAAAUUGACGAUUUGGCUAGGAGAGUUGAUAGAAUGUCUAGUAAUAUUGAUGCUUUAAAAGUUAGAUGUGCUCUGAUACGUCUCCAACGUAUCUAUAAUUUUUUACGGUUCCAUGCUAUUAUCUUGUCAACUUUGGAUGUUUUAUAUGCAUGAAUAUGCUAUUUUAUAUCUUUUUUGGGACUAACCUAUUAACUCAGUGCCAAGUGCCAGUUUCUGUUUUUUCCGUGUUUUUGGCCCAUUUUCAGACGGAGUCCAAAUGGAAUGAAACUUUACGAUGAUUUUUUUUUGGACCAAAAGAGACCCCCGAAGCUUUGGGAGAAGACCAGAUGGGCCACGAGGGAGUCACAAGCCCUCACGACGCCACCAACCCCCCCCCCCCUCCGGUGGUGGCGCGCAGGCUUGUGACCUCCUCGUGGGCCCAACUGACGCAAUUCCACCGCCAUAAAUUCCUAUAAAUUCACAAACCCUCAGAAAGAAACCUAGAUCGGGAGUUCCGCCGCCGCAAGCCUCUGUAGCCACCAAAAACCAAUCUAGAGCCCAUUCCGGCACCCUGCCGGAGGAGGAAUCCAUCUCCGGUGGCCAUCUUCAUCAUCCCGGCGAUCUCCAUGACGAGGAGGGAGUAGUUCUCCCUCGGGGCUGAGGGUAUGUACGAGUAGCUAUGUGUUUGAUCUCUCUCUCUCGUGUUCUUGAGAUGUCUUGAUCUCGAUGUACCAUGGGCUUUGCUACUAUAGUUGGAUCUUAUGAUGUUCUUCCCCCUCUCCUUCUUGUAAUGAAUUGAGUUUCCCCUUUGGAUUUAUCUUAUCGGAUUGAGUCUUUGAGAACACUUGAUGUAUGUAUUGCACGUGUCUAUCUGUUGUGAUCAACUUGCGGGUUUGUGACAAUUGGGAACCUAUGCAUAUGGGUUGGCACAUGUGGAUUCAUGUGAGUACUUGAUGUAUGUUUUGGUGAUCAACUUGCGGGUUCGUGACAUUGGGAACCUAUGCACAGCGGUUGGCACAUGUUUUGACUCUGUGGUAGAAACUUUGGGGCACUCUUUCAAGUUCUAUGUGUUGGUUGAAUAGAUGAUUCUGAGAUUGUGUGAUGCAUAUCGUAUAAUCAUACCCAGGGAUACUUGAGGUGACAAUGGAGUAUCUAGGUGACAUUAGGGUCUUGGUUGAUAAGUAUCUUAAGGUGUUAUUCUAGUACGAACUCUAUGAAAGAUUGAACGGAAAGAAUAGCUUCGUGUUAUUUUACUACGGACUCUUGAAUAGAUCGAUUAGAAAGAAUAACUUUGUGGUGGUUUCGUACCCGACAAUAAUCUCUUUGUUUGUUCCCCGCUAUUAGUGACUUUGGAGUGACUCUUUGUUGCAUGUCGAGGGCUAGUUAUAUGAUCCAAUUAUGUUAUCAUUGUUGAGAGAACUUCACUAGUGAAAGUAUGAACCCUAGGCCUUGUUUCGACGCAUUGCAAUAUCAUUCGUGCUCACUUUUACCAUUUGUUACCUUGCUGUUUUUGUAAUUUCAGAUUACAAAAACCUAUAUCUAUCAUCCAUAUUGCACUUGUUUCACCAUCUCUUCGCUGAACUAGUGCACCUAUACAACUUACCAUUGUAUUGGGUGUGUUGGGGACACAAGAGACUCUUUGUUAUUUGGUUGCAGGGUUGAUUGAGAGAGACCAUCUUCAUCCUACGCCUCCUGCGGAUUGAUAAACCUUAGGUCACCCACUUGAGGGAAAAUUGCUACUGUCCUACAAACCUCUGCACUUGGAGGCCCAACAACGUCUACAAGGAGAAGGUUGCGUAGUAGACAUCAAGCUCUUUUCUGGCGCCGUUGCCGGGGAGGCUAGGAAAGCAGCACUAACAUCCCGUCAACGAAGCUCUUUUCUGGCGCCGUUGCCGGGGAGGUUAGCGCUUGAAGGUAUAUCUUUAGAUCUUGCAAUCGAAUCUUUUUGUUUCUUGUUCUUUCGCUGAAAAUUACAAAAAAAUGGAAUUGAGGAUGCCUCAUAUGCUCCAUCUUUUCAAUGUCUUUCAUGAGCAUGAUGGGAAGGAAAAUUGUGCUCAAGUGCUGAAAGAAGAAUUACAUAGAAUGCUUGGCAUAGAAUAUGUGAAUGAUGAGCAUGAUUGCAAUGUUGUGAGGAUACUUAUGCUUUAAAGAAGAGGGAUGAUAAACUUGUCAUACUCUCGAGAACCCCUUUGCUAAACCUUGCUUUUUCAUCGUGGACACAAUUUGUAGUGCUCAAGUCUUUUACAAUACUCCCACUACUAUUCUUGAGAAUAGAUUUCCUUAUGUGGAGAGUAGUAAAAUUCCUAUGCUUGUAGAUCAUGAAAAGAAUGCUUUAGGUGCUGUUUAUAUUGUUGAAUUCAUUCAUGAUGCUACUGAAAAUUACUAUGAGAGAGGAUCAUAUGCUUCUACUUAUUGCAAUAGUAUCAAUCUUCCUCUCCAUAUGUUGAAAUUUUUGAAGCUAUGCUUGUUUUGCCUUCCUAUGCUAGUUGAUUCUUGCUCCAAUAAAUUGUUUGAUCACAAAAUCCCUAUGCAUAGGAAGUGGGUUAGACUCAAAUGUGCUAGCCAUUUUCUCCAUGAUACUCUCGUUGUGUUCCAAUCCUUACCUUAUAUGUGAGCAUCAUUGAAAUCAAUGCCUAGCUAAGGGCGUUAAACGAUAGCGCUUGUUGGGAGGCAACCCAAUGAAUAAAUUGUUCUUUCCUUUUUCUUUCUGUUUUUUGUUUUCCACACUUUCAUAAUUCUGUUAUGAUUGUGUUUUUUGUGUUUAUUUUUUGCGUUUGUGCCAAGCAAAACCGUUAUGAUUAGUCUUGGGGAUGAUCGUUUGGUCAUGCUGGAAAAGAAAGAAACUUUCUGCUCACGAAAAGAAUUUUCUUUUUUUUUCUGUAAUAGAUUUUGAGUUGAUUCUUUUUUAUUCUCAUUGCUACGCAAAUUCUUUAGACUUUCAUAAUUGUUCAGAUUUUUUGAAGUACCAGAGGUAUACGAAAUAUACAUAUUGCUACAGACUGGUAUGCUGUUAACAGAUUCUGUUUUUUUUUWGUGUUGGUUGCUUAUUUUGAUGAAACUAUGGAUAGUAUCGGGAGGUAUUAGCCAUGGAAGAUUGAAAAUACAGUAACCCAACAUCAGCAUAAGUAGAAUUUAAGUUUGCUACAGUACCUAAGGAAGUGGUGGUUUGCUUUCUCAUACUAAUGUUAUCACGAGUUUCUGUUUAAGUUUCGUGCUGUGAAGUUUUCAAGUUUUGGGUGAAGUUCUUAUGGACAAAGAGAUAAACAGUGGCAAGAGAUCAAGCUUG